UACGUAGGGUGCGAGCGUUAAUCGGAAUUACUGGGCGUAAAGCGUGCGCAGGCGGCGCGUUAAGACAGGUGUGAAAGCCCCGAGCUUAACUUGGGAAUUGCGCUUGUGACUGGCGUGCUGGAGUGUGGCAGAGGGAGGUGGAAUUCCAAGUGUAGCGGUGAAAUGCGUAGAUAUUUGGAGGAACACCAGUGGCGAAAGCGGCUUUCUGGGACAUUCCUGACGCUGAGGUUCGAAAGCUCGGGGAGCAAACAGG
rnacentral:rRNA from 1 species